GAUGAACGCUAGCGGGAGGCCUAAUACAUGCAAGUCGAGCGGUAGAGUGACUUCGGUUGCUUGAGAGCGGCGAACGGGUGAGUAACGCGUACACAAUCUACCUUUAAGAGGGGAAUAGCCCUGGGAAACUGGGAUUAAUGCCCCAUGGCAUCACGAGACGGCAUCGUUUUGUGAUUAAAGCUGAGGUGCUUAGAGAUGAGUGUGCGUCUGAUUAGCUAGUUGGUGCGGUAACGGCGCACCAAGGCGACGAUCAGUAGGGGGCGUGAGAGCGUGGACCCCCACACGGGUACUGAGACACGGACCCGACUCCUACGGGAGGCAGCAGUAAGGAAUAUUGGUCAAUGGAGGAAACUCUGAACCAGCCAUCCCGCGUGCAGGAAGAAUGCCCUAUGGGUUGUAAACUGCUUUUAUCUGGGAAGAAAAGUCGGGAUUUAUCCUGAUCUGACGGUACCAGAGGAAUAAGCACCGGCUAACUCCGUGCCAGCAGCCGCGGUAAAG
rnacentral:rRNA from 1 species